rnacentral:rRNA from 1 species
CGGACGGGUGAGUAACGCGUAAGAAUCUACCUUCAGGUUCGGGACAACCACUGGAAACGGUGGCUAAUACCGGAUGUGCCGAGAGGUGAAAGGCUUGCUGCCUGGGGAAGAGCUUGCGUCUGAUUAGCUAGUUGGUAGUGUAAGGGACUACCAAGGCGACGAUCAGUAGCUGGUCUGAGAGGAUGAUCAGCCACACUGGGACUGAGACACGGCCCAGACUCCUACGGGAGGCAGCAGUGGGGAAUUUUCCGCAAUGGGCGAAAGCCUGACGGAGCAAUACCGCGUGAGGGAGGAAGGCUCUUGGGUUGUAAACCUCUUUUCUCAGGGAAGAAAAAAAUGACGGUACCUGAGGAAUAAGCAUCGGCUAACUCCGUGCCAGCAGCCGCGGUAAUACGGAGGAUGCAAGCGUUAUCCGGAAUGAUUGGGCGUAAAGGGUCCGCAGGUGGCAUUGUAAGUCUGCUGUUAAAGAGUUUGGCUCAACCAAAUAAAAGCAGUGGAAACUACAAAGCUAGAGUUUGGUCGGGGCAGAGGGAAUUCCUGGUGUAGCGGUGAAAUGCGUAGAUAUCAGGAAGAACACCAGUGGCGAAGGCGCUCUGCUAGGCCGAGACUGACACUGAGGGACGAAAGCUAGGGGAGCGAAUGGGAUUAGAUACCCCAGUAGUCCUAG